rnacentral:rRNA from 1 species
UGAGGAAUAUUGGUCAAUGGGUGCAAGCCUGAACCAGCCAUCCCGCGUGAAGGACGACUGCCCUAUGGGUUGUAAACUUCUUUUGUAUAGGGAUAAACCUACCCUCGUGAGGGUAGCUGAAGGUACUAUACGAAUAAGCACCGGCUAACUCCGUGCCAGCAGCCGCGGUAAUACGGAGGGUGCAAGCGUUAUCCGGAUUUAUUGGGUUUAAAGGGUCCGUAGGCGGACUUAUAAGUCAGUGGUGAAAGCCUGUCGCUUAACGAUAGAACUGCCAUUGAUACUGUAAGUCUUGAGUAUAUUUGAGGUAGCUGGAAUAAGUAGUGUAGCGGUGAAAUGCAUAGAUAUUACUUAGAACACAAAUUGCGAAGGCAGGUUACCAAGAUAUAACUGACGCUGAGGGACGAAAGCGUGGGGAGCGAACA